GCUUCACCUGUAGAGUCCAACAGAACAACAUCCACCAGACCAGAGAGGCUCACAUACAUGUUCCAGAUGAUUUCUUCUUGUCCAGUUCUGCUGUUCCUAUCAACACUGGUUUGGCUGUUAGCUUAGCUGUUAGCAUCAUGUUUAUUUUAGCAGGUGUUUUCUUUGUGUGGAGACAAAAUAGAACCAAAACCAAGAAAAGAUCCAGAGAUGAAGCAGAAAGAGGAGAAAAGCUCCUGACAGAGGAAACAGAGAAGAUGAAGGUUUUUGGAAGAAGAAAUAAGAACAUUAAAGAAGUAAAAGAUGAAAGAUUUAGAUUGAUGAGUUUGAAGAAAGUUUGAUCAGUAAACCUGCUGACUGAUCAUCAUCCAUCUGUCUGCAGGUUUUCUUCUCCUCUCAGGUCAAUGAACUAAAGGAGGAGAAGAACAAGCUGCAGGAGGAGAUGGAGACCAGAAACAAAGAGCUGGAGGAGAUAAAAGAUGAGGUGAAAAACAAGCUCGUAGACAUGGAGAGAGAAGUAGUUUAUUCACUCAGAACAUCAAAGAAUCAAGUGUAGACAAGCUAAAAUCUUUUUAUUGUGAAAUGUGAAAUGUGUUGUCACUGAUGAUAAAAUAUUUUUAUUUGACUUUAAUAAAUUCUUCCAGUUGGAGAAAAAUGAUGCUGAUGCUUCCAAGUUAAGCAGGUUCCUCGGGGUAAGUGAUCAUAUUAUAAGAACUAUGAUAGAAUCAGUAUGUCCAUCAUUUAUAAUCUUUACUGAUCUCUCUUCAUUCUUCUCAGUUGUCAACAGACAGAAGGAGGAGGUUUUAUUUGUUUUUUUUCUUACAUGAAAGUGUGCAACAGAAUUUGUACAUAACUACACACUAAAUUUUCAAAACAACACCUCCUUGACUGAAAAGGAAAAAGAAAAUAUUUCUCAUAUUUUUUUGCCCUCUACUUGAACAAAUAACAGAGAAGAUGGCCUGAUGUCACAUUCAGUUGAUUUUCAAUAGCCUACCACAACAACACUUUGAUUAUAACAACAACAGUUGUUGGUGAAUUCAAUAUUUCCACACAGUAGUCAGAGGAACUUGGUGUUUAAACAUAAUAUAAUUUGAACAUAAUAUCUAAAAUUCUAACAAAGAAAUGAUUUGAUCAGACACAGAAACCUUCACAUAUUUGACUCUAAUCUCAGAGAGACUGAGUUCUCUGUUAUUAUGAACUACUGGUGGAGUUUGACAAAACACAAACACAACUCUGCUCCACCUACAGGUAAAAUGAUAGAACUACAGGAAUAAACAGCAUUUAAAAUCCACACAGUAGAUAACAGUGAAUAUGUUCUGGAAAAGUUAGAGACUGACUCAGAGUUGGCCCAAACCUCCAAGGGGGCCUCAGCAAAAUCAGAUUUUGGGGCUUCUCUGUUUCUGUCAGUGGUGUUGAUUGUUGAUAUUCACUACUUUAAACUCAUUGCAGCUCUGAUUAUCCUAUUUUCAAUCUGACAUGUUUUUACACAAAACUACUGUGAAUCAGUUAAAAUAUACAAACAUGAUAACUUUUGAUUCAUUAUGUUCGGUUUCAAAAAAUUGCAACAGUAAUGUGCAAAAACAAUUUAUAGUGCAACAACAAAUAAAAUCAAUUACAUACAUAAAAAUAAUGACAAAUUUAAUUGUACAAAAAGACAGAAUUCAAUAAAAUAAUACAAAUUCAAGCAAACACUUAUAUAAUGACAUGAGUUCUCUGAAAGAAGGUAACAAGAAUCCAAAGUUAAUGUUAAUGUUGCUAUCAAACAUCAGCAAAAACUUUAUUUAUUUUUUAAAUACAGGCUGAUCCCAACAAUCAACUCAGUCGCAGUUAGAUCUCAGUAUCACACAAAAACAAAUGUUAGCAUGAACAUUUAACUAUUUAACCAGACAGUUGUGUUACAUUUCUCUGUUAGACAGCUAAUUUGCUAUAGACGGCCUCGCAAAUAUCUUUCAUAAACAUUCCAUCACCAAGACAUGCAAAUAAACCUUUAUCUUGUUUUGUCUUCAACUACCUGCCCUUUGGAUGCACAGUGAGCACAAGGUAGGAGGCACAUUACUGGUGAAAUUUAUUAAAUUCUUCUUUGUUAAUUGCUCUUGGGGCCCCCUUAGUGACGCCGGGGUCCUAAGCCGGCACUUAGUGCCUUAGUGCUCUGACUGUUAAGAAUCUGGACUUCACCUCCUUUUACUCUGAUAAAUGAACUAAAUGAGGAGAAGAAGAAGAUGGAGACCAGAAAAAAAGAGCUGGAGGAGAUAAAAGAUGAGGUGCAGAACAAACUCAUAGACAUGGAGAGAGAAGUAGUUUAUUCACACACAUCAUUCAAAGAUUCUUCAUAUCAAUACCUCCUUCAGAUCAACUAAACCAGUGUGACAUGGACAAAUAGAAACAGACGAUAGCAAAGGAAGACAUUUAAAUCUAAUUGUAUAUCUCCUUCUAUGGGACACAACAACAACAACCUUUGAACAUUUUCAAUUUCACAGAAACUUUCUGUGACGUUGUGUCCUCUGAUUGGUCCUCAUGCAUCAACAGUUGAAUUGUUCAACGACUACGUAAAAGAAGAUGAAAUAUCACAAUUAAAGAGCAGAAAGACAGUUUUGAAAGUUUCUCUGUCUGGAACUGAUCCAAAGAUCCAUGAACCCCAAGAAGUAUUUUAUUUGUUCCCUCUUACUGAUUCACACAAGAAGAAGCAAAAAUGAGACAACAUUCAUGAAGGAGGUCUGUUGUUAAUCUCAUCUCCUCUUUCUGUCUUCUCUCUCCUCAGCUGGAAAAACUAACUGGUGACAACAAGAGGCUUCAAGAG